UGCAAGUCGAACGCAGUAGCAAUACUGAGUGGCAAACGGGUGAGUAUAAUGUGGGAAUCUGCCUUUUGGUUUGGAAUAACACGGGGAAACUUGUGCUAAUACCGAAUAAGCCCUUACGGGGAAAGUUUUAAUGCCGAAAGAUGAGCCCGCACUUGAUUAGCUAGUUGGUAAGGUAAAAGCUUACCAAGGCAACGAUCAAUAGCUGUUCUUAGAGGAAGACCAGCCACAUUGGGACUGAGACACGGCCCAGACUCCUACGGGAGGCAGCAGUGGGGAAUCUUGCACAAUGGGGGAAACCCUGAUGCAGCGAUGCCGCGUGAGUGAAGAAGGCCCUUGGGUUGUAAAACUCUUUCGUCGGGGAAGAAAAUGACUGUACCCGAAUAAGAAGGUCCG
rnacentral:rRNA from 1 species